rnacentral:rRNA from 1 species
AUUGAACGCUGGCGGCAGGCCUAACACAUGCAAGUCGAACGAGUGGCGGACGGGUGAGUAAUGUAUGGGAAACUGCCUGAUGGAGGGGGAUAACUACUGGAAACGGUAGCUAAUACCGCAUACCAUCGGAUGUGCCCCGAUGGGAUUAGCUUGUUGGUGGGGUAACGGCUCACCAAGGCGACGAUCCCUAGCUGGUCUGAGAGGAUGACCAGCCACACUGGAACGGAGACACGGUCCAGACUCCUACGGGAGGCAGCAGUGGGGAAUAGUGCACAAUGGGCGCAAGCCUGAUGCAGCCAUGCCGCGUGUAUGAAGAAGGCCUUCGGGGUGUAAAGUACUUUCAGCGGGGAGGCGUUACCGGCAGAAGAAGCACCGGCUAACUCCGUGCCAGCAGCCGCGGUAAUAC